rnacentral:rRNA from 1 species
GGAAUAUUGGACAAUGGGCGCAAGCCUGAUCCAGCCAUGCCGCGUGUGUGAUGAAGGCCUUAGGGUUGUAAAGCACUUUCACCGGAGAAGAUAAUGACGGUAUCCGGAGAAGAAGCCCCGGCUAACUUCGUGCCAGCAGCCGCGGUAAUACGAAGGGGGCUAGCGUUGUUCGGAAUUACUGGGCGUAAAGCGCACGUAGGCGGAUCGAUCAGUCAGGGGUGAAAUCCCAGAGCUCAACUCUGGAACUGCCUUUGAUACUGUCGGUCUAGAGUAUGGAAGAGGUGAGUGGAAUUCCGAGUGUAGAGGUGAAAUUCGUAGAUAUUCGGAGGAACACCAGUGGCGAAGGCGGCUCACUGGUCCAUUACUGACGCUGAGGUGCGAAAGCGUGGGGAGCAAACAGGAUUAGAUACCCGGG